CGUAUCACUUAAAGUGAUUCAGCGGGUUACGAUUGACGGAGCGAAGCGACGUCAAAGCGUAUACAAAGUCGAGUCGGUUUAAGGAUACGUUCGUUGGGUAGGGGAGCGUUCUGUAAGCCUGUGAAGGUGGCCUGUGAGGGUUGCUGGAGGUAUCAGAAGUGCGAAUGCUGACAUAAGUAACGAUAAAGCGGGUGAAAAGCCCGCUCGCCGGAAGAGCAAGGGUUCCUGUCCAACGUUAAUCGGGGCAGGGUGAGUCGACCCCUAAGGCGAGGCCGAAAGGCGUAGUCGAUGGGAAACGGGUUAAUAUUCCCGUACUUGGUGUUACUGCGAAGGGGGGACGGAGAAGGCUAUGUUGGCCGGGCGACGGUUGUCCCGGUUUAAGCGUGUAGGCUGGUUUUCCAGGCAAAUCCGGAAAAUCAAGGCUGAGGCGUGACGACGAGGCACUACGGUGCUGAAGCAACAAAUGCCCUGCUUCCAGGAAAAGCCUCUAAGCAUCAGGUAACACGAAAUCGUACCCCAAACCGACACAGGUGGUCAGGUAGAGAAUACCAAGGCGCUUGAGAGAACUCGGGUGAAGGAACUAGGCAAAAUGGUGCCGUAACUUCGGGAGAAGGCACGCUGAUAUGUAGGUGAAGCGGUUUACCCGUGGAGCUGAA
rnacentral:rRNA from 1 species